UUUGUUGCUAUCAGUUUUGCAGACAACAGCAAGAAAAUGUUGUUACUCAAGAUUUUAUGGUGACCAACACUUUGUUCUUAAUUAGGACAAUGUAAGGUUGAUAGAUUUUAGGUUAAUCCCUCUUCGCCACUGUUAUAGUUGUUUGGAAACCGACAAGAGAUUGCUGGAAUUGAAGACUGAUAAUUUGUGUAGAUUUAGAUAAAUUAAAAGUGCAUACCUGGGCUCCCUUCUUUUCUGUGGCCCCGUUUCCCUAACUAACCAACGCCCGCCGGUGGUCACUCACCCGCUGUGACAACCAGGAGGAAGGGAGGGCUCUGGUCGAACGGUGACUUGAAAGGGCGCAUGAUCUUAUGUAAGCUUUUGGAGGGUCAUGAGUCUAACCCGGAAGCCUACUAUGACUAUCUUCCCAGUAAAACUGGCCUCGUACUUCUCUCUUCUUCACUGGCCAAGUAAUCACCCUGGGCACAGUUAGGGCAGUGUCACCUUCUGACUUUUCUUGAUUGCACUUCUAAGUUGGCAAAGUAUAGCGAUUUACAUUUACGGACUGUGAUUACUUCGUGCUCGCUGCACAUUCAAGAAAUUGCAAUCAUCUACCGCCAUACAACAUUUUAGCUUCUAAAUAUUGUUCUUACAUAGUGCUGGGAAUGACCGUCAAUUUGAAAAAAAUUCUUAAACGUAUGAAUUUCAUCGAUUUUGAUGCUAGUAUAAAUAUAAAUUUAACAACA